rnacentral:lncRNA from 1 species
GCUGGUCAGGGGGACCUGGCUCCCAUGGGAACCGAGUCCACAGGCCUCGCUGAUAGAGAAGUGGGGGCUCUGCCGAGAUUUGGGGCUAAGCCCUCCAGCCUGCUUAUGGGGAAAAAAACCUCUCAACCCAGACUGGGAGAGGAGGGUUUACUUGCUUGCCCGACUUGUGUUUUUUUGCUGGUAAUAGUUUUCAUUGACUGGGGAGUAAAACUGCUCUCCUCUCCUGAACUGACAGAGCAGGACUGGUAAGGGUCAGCUUUGAUUCUGGUCUUCCCUUUGCUCAUCAUUUUAUUUGAGUGCCGUGAGGACAUUCCCCUAUCAGGUUCUUAGAAUCAGAGUACAAAAGCCCACAUGGCGAGGCCUGAGGUUCUCAAUGCACCCUUAGAACCCGCCUCACCCCCGUGCUGGUUGGCGAGUGUCCUCCAGGAGAGAGACCACCCAGUCAGGUGGUCCCGGGGGCAGCAUGACUAACUGGAGUCCUCCAAAUGGGGCCCUUUGCACAGUGUCCGACACGUGGUAAGCAAUCAGUAAAUGCUGUCUGUUGUUGUCAUCGUUGUUGAUGUUGAAGGGCCCCUGGAGUCCACGGUGCUGUGUUCUGUUGGCUCUGGUCUGAGUGACAAGAGGAAAGCCCAGAAGAAAGAGCCCAAUAAUUCCACGUGUCAGCGUAGAAACCAAGUUGCCAGUAUUGCUGAGUGACACACAGAUCCCGCCAGCACUUUCCUGAUGGUGACAGUUCAUCUUUCUCCGUUUCUCGCGGUGUGAGGAGCACUUUUGCCCCGAGGGUCUAUGGGGACACUGUGGUUGCCUGUCUCUUCCCCUGCCACUAGCUGACGCUUGUGCCGAUGUGUCUUCUGGAGCAUCCUCCAUCCUCUCAGCAUUCGCUUCCCUCAGAGUCACGUCUAACAGCAGAUUAGGAGCAAAGGGAAGAGGUAUCAGGCCGCUGAGGAACCGUCAUGACUCAGACCCUUUUUCCCCCCGGAGUCACGGCGGUGAGCUUCGUUGACAACAAUUUCUCUUCGUUCAGCUGCAUUUCUUCAACAACUUCUGGCUCUCUGUCUGCACUCCACAGAGCAGAAGCUCCGGGAAGGCUGAGUGCGGCCAACAGAGGGGUUCCGAGCACUGGCAGGGAGCCACAGGAGAAUUCACGUCACUGUGGGGUCUGCAUAGAAAGCCAAAAGAGUGGCGAGGUCUGCGAGUUUUUUUCAGAAAUACCUUUGGCUUUGAUGUAGUCAGAGAGCGAGCGUUAAGCCAACCUCUUCACUGCGGCUUCAAGAAGAGCGCGCGAUGGGCA